rnacentral:rRNA from 1 species
UGCUCUUAUGAAGUUAGCGGCGGACGGGUGAGUAACACCCUGGGUAACCUGCCCAUAAGACUGGGAUAACUCCGGGAAACCGGGGCUAAUACCGGAUAACAUUUUGAACCGCAUGGUUCGAAAUUGAAAGGCGGCUUCGGCUGUCACUUAUGGAUGGACCCGCGUCGCAUUAGCUAGUUGGUGAGGUAACGGCUCACCAAGGCAACGAUGCGUAGCCGACCUGAGAGGGUGAUCGGCCACACUGGGACUGAGACACGGCCCAGACUCCUACGGGAGGCAGCAGUAGGGAAUCUUCCGCAAUGGACGAAAGUCUGACGGAGCAACGCCGCGUGAGUGAUGAAGGCUUUCGGGUCGUAAAACUCUGUUGUUAGGGAAGAACAAGUGCUAGUUGAAUAAGCUGGCACCUUGACGGUACCUAACCAGAAAGCCACGGCUAACUACGUGCCAGCAGCCGCGGUAAUACGUAGGUGGCAAGCGUUAUCCGGAAUUAUUGGGCGUAAAGCGCGCGCAGGUGGUUUCUUAAGUCUGAUGUGAAAGCCCACGGGCUCAACCGUGGAGGGUCAUUGGAAACUGGGGAGACUUGAGUGCAGAAAGAGGAAAAGUGGAAUUCCCCAUGUGUUAGCGGUGAAAAUGCGUAGAGAUAUGGAGGGAAACACCAGUGGCGAAGGCGACUUUCUUGGUCUGUAACUGAACACUGAAGGCGGCGAAAAGCGGUGGGGGAAGCCAAACCAGGGAUUAAGAUAACCCCUGGGUUAGAUCCC